rnacentral:misc_RNA from 1 species
ACAAAAAAAAAAAAAAAAAGGAACAGAAGACAGAAAGUUUGUGCUGUACUAACAUACCCCAUCUCUUUCUUUUGCUGGGGGACAUCUCUCUCCAGUUUUUGGCAAAAAGCCUAUAUAAGCUAGCAGAUCGUACAUCAAGUGUUCUGAUUGAGCUUGGGAGAAAAUUUCCAGACCCUCUACAUGCUAUUUGUUCUCUCUCACAAGAGGUCUCUUCUCUUUUUACAGGAUUCUUUUGUUUUGUAGAAAUGAUGCCACGGUUUCAGGAAGAUUUCUCAUCAACAGCCUCUUUGAUUCCUUUAUUCUGUCGAGCAGAAUCUUUCCUAGUCCAUCAAUUUCUGGUUCAUAUUGCUCAUAAACGAAGAAGGCCGUAAAGGAAAAGACUAGGGCUAUUCCUACCAUUCCUACCACCAGAGUCAUUGAUCGCAACAGAAUCAACUUCAGAAAAUAGAGGGAGAACAUGACCUUUAAGAAUUUAUUCCAAUCCUCUCCUUGGGCCAAUAAUCUUACAUUCUUGUUAACCCAUCUAUUCCACAGAUAUGCUAUGAAUGUCACUGAAUCUUUCACCACUGUUUCUGAAAUUUCAAACCAAGACAAAGAUAUCCUCUGAAUGGUAAAACCGGAUAUCUCUAGUGGUAGAAUCCCAUAUCCAUAGAGGAUGGUAGUUAUUAUCAGCAGAAGCUUUGCAACAGAUGAUGUAAAAGUCCUUUCAGAAAGUAAAAACCAGUAAAACAACAUAGCAAAGCAAAGGAAAUAUGUAAAUGUUCUCUUCUCAUCUCUCCAAAGUAAAAUGUCUGCAACUUUCCCACUGCCUAGCAGCUUGUCAACCUUUGAUUGUUCUUCAAAAUUAGUGCACCUUAUGAAAGAUGGGUCCUUGACCAAGUGUGAGAAUGCGUCAAUGGUCAAUGCAAUACCAUCAUCUAGAGAGACAACUGGUGAGUAUCCAAUGUAUUUUUGGGCUGCAUUGCAGUUAAAAGUCCUAGUGUGUGAAGCUAAACGGAAGUAGUAAGCUGACAGCGAAUGAUUAUAUUUUUUGAAACCCAACUUUUCAUGUGUCCAUUUGACAAACAAGAGAACAUACCACAUCAUACUGGCAGGGAAUUUUAUCAAAGGUCUUUGAUACCCCAAGCCUUCCAACAUCAAUGAUACAAAUUCCCAAAACUUCAUGGGCUCGAGAUUAGUGAUGAAAAAUGCCUUGCCAGCCACAGAGAUCAUCUGAGAAUCCAGAGCUUCUUCUGCACAGAUGUGGGCGUGAAUAACAUUCUCAGCAUAGGUGAAGUCAGACAUAUUUUCACCACUUCCUAUAAUAAACUUUGCAAAACCAGAUUUUGCUAAUUUCAUUAAGAAUGGCACAAGCUGUGUGUCUCCAGGUCCAAAGACAUUGCUUGGACGAAGUGCACAUGUCAAAAGGCCAUCAAUAUUGUUAGCAAACAGGAUCAGUGCUUCUGCAUGAGCCUUAAGGUCACUCAACAUGUCCUCAAAUCUCCAAUGGCAUGGUAAGGACUCAUCUCCAUUGCAUAUAUCAUGUGAACCAUCAAAAAUUACAUCUGCAGAACUGUUAUAUAUCAGCUUUCGAACUUUGCACUCUCGGCAAGCAUUGAUGACAUUUUUAGCUCCUUGAACUAUAAUUUUGUAGCAAUAAUAGAAAUCGUGAUUCCAUAAAUCAGUAGCUUCCAUAUAAAAUACUACAGAUGCACCCUCAAUAGCUUUGACGAUUGAAGAGACGUCGAGAACAUCAAGACGAUGGCAGGAAGCACGGCCGGAAGAGAUGGCGUCGUUAAGAAAGGAGUCAGAAGAGUCAGUGAGGUGGAGUUGCAAAGAGUGAGGGGAAUCGGAGACUCGAACGAUCCAGUUACCCAGUUUAAGGAGGGUGAAGACGAGCGAUCUUCCUAGAAACCCUCGCCCUCCAAGAACCGCGCAGGUCUUAGGGUUUAAAUCCCCAAAUGGAACCUCGAUCGCCAUUAACGACCACAGAGAGAGAGAGAGAAAACGAAAUCGAUAUAAUCAGAGAGAGAGAGAGAGCGUAGCGUAGAGAUAAUAUAAAAG